rnacentral:rRNA from 1 species
GGAUAUCCUUGCUCUUGCAACGAUGAAGAACGCAGCGAAAUGCGAUACGUUAUGUGAAUUGCAGAAUUCCGCGAAUCAUCGAGUCUUUGAACGCAACUUGCGCCCGAGGCUUGUCCGAGGGCAUUUCCGCUAGAGCGUCACC